GUCCACGACGGUUUGAGGAUAUUACCUAUCAGGAAGGGUAACGAUUCAGAUGCCGAUUCCAAAUUUAGAACCCUGUUUCCUGAACGGUGAAUUGUCUAAGAUAAUUCCCCAAUUGAAAUAUUCGAAAUGAGGAGCCUUCUAGGCUUCUACCAUGUGUUCUUGCAAAAGACGGAUAAGGGCCAUAACUCAUUAGGGAGACACAGAAAGAGAGGGAUGGCGGGUAACAAAGCUUUAGCUUUAUCCGUUGCUCCUCUCAUCCUCGGUGAAUAUUCAACCUCCUUUCCUUCGUCUUCUUCGUCACCUCUUUCCUUUUCAUAUCAUUACAACUCUUCCUCUUCUGCUUCUGGUUUCGGUGUUACUGCUCCUUUUAUUUGUCGGUCUUGCACCACUGCAUUUGGUCACCCUUCCUCUGUUCCUUUAUUGCGUAAGAACAUAGCAGCAGCACCUUCUCUUCUUUUCUCCUUUUCUUCCAGAAAGCAGAUUUGCAGGGCAGCGGAGUACACAUUUCCAGACCCCAUUCCCGAAUUUGCCGAAUCCGAAACAGAGAAGUUUCGAACCCAUCUUCAUAAGAAGCUGUCAAAGAAGUCCAUUUUUGGAGAUUCUGUAGAAGAAGUUACAGAAAUCUGCUCGGAGGUGUCAAAUUUUGAUUGGGAGUUGAGGAAAUUCGUGCAAGAAACUUCUUCAGUCCCAGUUAUCGUAGAUGAUUCUUUAAACAUUUCCAAGGGAGAAAAAGAAUGGCUGCUGAACAAGUUGGGACCACAGAAUGACAUUUGAGUUGUCCAAAUCAUGGCAGAAAGAUAAAAUGAGUCUUACCAUGAACUUUCCACCAUUUGGGCUCAAAAGCUUUUCUGCCAAUCAAAUUGAUUUAGUGAACAUGGAAAAAGAAGAUGAGAAGAAGAACGCUUUCUGUUGGUGAUAUUCAACACUUUCUUGCACACUGAAUAUGGAGGUCCUGGAACCCUGUUAGUCACCCCUUUCAUUGACAUGGCUGAUACUCUGAACGAAAGAGGGCUGCCUGGGGCUCCACAAGCUGCACGUGCAGCAGUAGUAUGGGC